AAAUCUGACCCCUCGGCGUCUCUUCACUCAAAAUAUCUGCGGUUUUCUUUCACUGCGGCUCUAUUCUCUCUCUAUUCUCUCAUCUGGAAAAUCAAGAUUCGAUGUUUAUAGUUGAUCCAAUGGUGAAAAUAGAUACGUUUUAUGAUUCUUGAUGUAAUGAUCUAUCGAUUGAGAUGCGUUAGAACGGCUGUUAAUCUGUCAUAUUUUGAUGGUUACAAUCUCUCUAUUCGUCCUCGCCUCCUCGGAUUAUCGAAACUCAGUAAGUUUUUCUGCAUGUUGGUUGGUUGAUGAUGUUGCAAAUAACAAUUGUGUCUUUGAUGUAUUCGAGAAAAGGCCGGGCUCAACUUCCGUACAUUUUCAGUAAGUUUUUUUCUUUUUCUUUACGUAAUAAUCGUGUGUAAUGGCUUCUCUGAUUCUUGAAGUAUUUGAAGACCCAGUGCAAGCCUUGGAAGAUGGAACAUGUUUUACCUUGAAUUUGGUAAAUAAAAAGAUCACAAUGGCAAAUUAUUAUUAAUUA